rfam:Picea glauca, whole genome shotgun sequence.
GGGUGCGAUCAUACCAGCGUUCAUGCACCGGAUCCCAUCAGAGCGUUGUAGUUAAGCACGCUUGGGCUAGAGUAGUAUUGCGAUGGGUGACCUCCCGGGAAGUCCUAGUGUUGCACCCU